CCUACGGGUGGCAGCAGUAGGGAAUAUUGCUCAAUGGGGGAAACCCUGAAGCAGCAACGCCGCGUGGAGGAUGAAGGUUUUCGGAUUGUAAACUCCUUUUGUUAGAGAAGAUAAUGACGGUAUCUAACGAAUAAGCACCGGCUAACUCCGUGCCAGCAGCCGCGGUAAUACGGAGGGUGCAAGCGUUACUCGGAAUCACUGGGCGUAAAGAGGGCGUAGGCGGGAUAGCAAGUCAGAUGUGAAAUCCUAUGGCUUAACCAUAGAACUGCAUUUGAAACUGUUAUUCUAGAGUAUGGGAGAGGUAGGUGGAAUUCUUGGUGUAGCGGUAAAAUCCGUAGAGAUCAAGAGGAAUACUCAUUGCGAAGGCGACCUGCUAGAACAUAACUGACGCUGAUGCGCGAAAGCGUGGGGAGCAAACAGGAUUAGAUACCCCAGUAGUC
rnacentral:rRNA from 1 species